CAGCAGUUUGUGACUUCUUUUGCAGUGCAUCAGGCAUUUGUGGAAGCUGCAGAGGUUUGUUUUGGAGUCUGAAAUGGAUCUUAUGUGACUGUUGUUGACAAGAUGUUUAUCUUUGCUCCGAUAUAAACACACCUGCUCUAAUACAUAAAUAAAUUUGCUUCCACCCGGCUACUACACCCAGCCAACAGCUCCAGUACGUUAUGGAGAAGAAACUGGUAGGUCGCUAAGCCGUGCUAGGGAGCGGCAGAAAUGGGGCAGAGCUCCCGGAAAGCCGGGAAGAGUCAGAAGAGGAGCCCUCGGCGGUGCCGGGGAGCUGAGCCAGCUCUUCCAGCCCAUUUCCUUCAGUGAUAUCUGGAGAGGAUCUGAUAAGCUUUACACUGCGUUUCACAGGUCAGAGGGCAUUGUCUUCCCCUUCAUUCCAACUGCCAACAACAAAGUCAGACAUAUGUUAUCACCAUCACACAGGAAGCUGUGAGCUUGCUCAUGGUCAACAAAGUACAAAUACAGGAAGAGUGUCUGCUAUUUUUGACUGUGUGCGUUGAACUUGUGUGACAAGCCUGGCAACUGAGCAAAGAAAUACAUGCAGCCAGGACAUCCUCACAUGCUCAUCAUCUCUCUCUCAGACUCCACUGGCGCUGUUCCUCCAACCAUUAAAAACUGUUCACAGGUUAUCACCAUAACAACACAUCCAGUGAAAGUCAGCUGGGAACAGCUGAAAUUAGUGCCAACAGUGGAGAUACUUCUAUACCCAAUGCCUCCUGCUUCCAAUGCAGAAGUUGUCAGGUUCAGAAUAUAGCCCAUCAUGAAGUUGGCAGCACAGCCUUUUGCUGGUUUAAAGUAAUCAUCAAAAGUAAGUGCUAAAAAAGAUGUUCCUAUAUGGCUUACAGGAAAGAUCAAAAGAAUAAUCCAGCACCAGAGAGCAUCAGUUAUGAAGGAUACCUGAACUAUUCUACUGUCAAAAUGUCUGGGUGGCCACAGACAUUCACUGAACUGACAGAUUCUCAAGCAUCCACGGUGACUAUCUGCCUGCAGAAUAUUGGAAGUGACCCUUGAAGAAGGAAACUCCUACUGUCAUCGUCAACCUGAAAUGAGAUGGAAGUGGGCAGUGCUUGAAGACAGUUUGUGGAAUCCAUUAGGAAGCACAAGAUGGGAGUCCCUUGUGCGUAACAGAAACAAACUGGGCUAUGGGCACUGUUCUGUGGAAUAUAUGGCCACAGAUCUGUCUGGGAAACUUAGUCAAAUCUGCUUUUGAGCCCUCUGUAAAUGCAGAAAUUUGGAUCAUAUUCAAGGUUAACUAAGUAAAAUGUGAUUAUUUGUGUUCCUGUCUCUUCACUGAUGAGCUCUUACGUCCAGUGGAACCUAAGGGACAAAGUCAUUAUCAAAUGUCUAAGUAAGUCUACAGGUAUGUGGUAUGAACAGUAAAAAUACUCCGAUUGUAAACCUUUCUGUAACACAUUUAGAAGAAUAGGCACAAAAUAGUUCAUCUUCUUUCCUUUACUUCAAAUUCAAUAUACCUAGAAAUGUUUUUACCAUCAUGUUUAUAAUUGUGUUUAGAAUAAGAAAACUGAUAGGUAUUUCUGUUCAGUGCAAUAUACUUCUUGCAACAUACUCUUGUAACAAGAGUGUUGUUCCCUACUAAUUCAAUAUUUUGCUUUCAUAUAUAUUUAUAUGAAAUCCUAGUGUAUGUACAGUCAACUGUCACAACAUGGAGCAAGACUGAGACUACCGUUCUUCAGAAGAAAUCGACCUGAUUGACAUUCAUUACACCACCAUAACAGCAGUACCUCUCCAAGACACAGGGGACCUUCAGAAGCACUUUCACUGUUACAGGCACACAUUUGUCAGAUUUCAUUUCCAAAUCUCAAGAUAAGGAACUAGGCAAAUACAUUCUUGUGUUAAGCUUAUUUUCUACUUUCAUAAUUUGUGCAGUUCUCAUGUAAAUGUUUGCUGUCUACAGCAAAUAUUGAGGAUUCAUUACUAAUCUCUGCCCCAGACUUUGGCCAUAGGAGCACUGGUGACUCCAAACCAUUUCUCUGCGUAAAAGAAUAUGCUCUUCUGGGUUAGUAAGGAGGGAGUAUCAAUAUCUGACACUUACAAGUGGGAGGUUUGAAUUCUUGGUCCAUUUGAGCUCCUGCAGAAUCAAAAACUCAGUUUAGGUUGCCUGCAUCCCAGGUGACUGCAGUUAACGUUAAAAUUUGCUUUAGCCAGAUAGCACCAGGGAUGCCAGCACCAGUGUUCACCACUUCUUCCUUUGUGGCCUCUUUUUGGAUUGCCACUGAUUAUGCAGCCUGAAUUUCCAGAAAAGCUUGAUUGUCUUAGAUCAGGAAUUAACAAUAAUGUGUGAGUACUUUUUCAGACAGCAUGCAUUAGAGGAUUUGAUUUUUCUGUAUUUAUAUUCUGUUAAAUUCACCUAAACCAACGUAUUAAGCUUUAUGUGAGUUAGCACUUGUCAGAAGAUACUUUCCCAUUGUUAACAGCUUUCAUUUAGAAAGUGGUAAAGUUUGUUGAGGGGAAGAAAACUUUUAAAUAGUCAUUAGGAGUUGUAGUUGUAAAUAGCUUUACAGUUUAGUGUGUGCAUUUAUUUUAAACUCAUAAAUCUGAGUUUAAUUUAAAAAGCAGUCCUAUAUGUCAUUUGUCUCAAAUGAAGCAUGAACUCCAUAUGGAUGAAUCUACGUUCUUCAUU